GGAACGUGGCUCAGUGGUAGAGUGCUUGCCUUGCACGCAUGAGGCCAUGGGUUCGAUUCCCAUAUGCACCA